AUUGAACGCUGGCGGCAUGCCUUACACAUGCAAGUCGAACGGCAGCACGGGUGCUUGCACCUGGUGGCGAGUGGCGAACGGGUGAGUAAUACAUCGGGACGUACCUUAUCGUGGGGGAUAACGCAGCGAAAGUUGCGCUAAUACCGCAUACGCCCUGAGGGGGAAAGCGGGGGACCGUAAGGCCUCGCGCGAUUAGAGCGGCCGAUGACUGAUUAGCCUGUUGGUGAGGUAAAAGCUCACCAAGGCGAUGAUCAGUAGCUGGUCUGAGAGGACGAUCAGCCACACUGGGACUGAGACACGGCCCAGACUCCUACGGGAGGCAGCAGUGGGGAAUUUUGGACAAUGGGGGCAACCCUGAUCCAGCAAUGCCGCGUGAGUGAAGAAGGCCUUCGGGUUGUAAAGCUCUUUUGUCAGGGAAGAAACAGCAGCUCUAACACAGUCUGCGAAUGACGGUACCUGAAGAAUAAGCACCGGCUAACUACGUGCCAGCCGCCGCCGUAA
rnacentral:rRNA from 1 species